rnacentral:rRNA from 1 species
GACGAACGCUGGCGGCGUGCUUAACACAUGCAAGUCGAACGGAAAGGCCCUGCUUUUGUGGGGUGCUCGAGUGGCGAACGGGUGAAUAACACGUGAGUAACCUGCCCUUGACUUUGGGAUAACUUCAGGAAACUGGGGCUAAUACCGGAUAGGAGCUCCUGCUGCAUAGUGGGGGUUGGAAAGUUUCGGCGGUUGGGGAUGGACUCGCGGCUUAUCAGCUUGUUGGUGGGGUAGUGGCUUACCAAGGCUUUGACGGGUAGCCGGCCUGAGAGGGUGACCGGCCACAUUGGGACUGAGAGACGGCCCAGACUCCUACGGGAGGCAGCAGUGGGGAAUAUUGCACAAUGGGCGGAAGCCUGAUGCAGCAACGCCGCGUGCGGGAUGACGGCCUUCGGGUUGUAAACCGCUUUCGCCUGUGACGAAGCGUGAGUGACGGUAAUGGGUAAAGAAGCACCGGCUAACUACGUG